rnacentral:lncRNA from 1 species
CUUACCAUGCGCUAAGUAAGCAGCCGGAGACUCCAACCCUAGACCGAUGGGUUAAUACGCAGAAGGAAAAGGAAAAGUGGGGGGGGGCACACUUCGGGGAGCAGAACCUCACCGAGGCCCCAGAUUGCUAACAGGAGGAGCCUCGAAGCUGCCUUAGAGGGUGGGGUUAGAGGAAGAUCCUUAGAAGAAGGACCUAAGCUGGGACAUUUCUAUUUUUAAUUUUUACUCAAUUCCUAAAACAUCAAAGU